rnacentral:rRNA from 1 species
UACGGGGGGAGCAAGCGUUGUUCGGAUUUACUGGGCGUAAAGGGCGCGUAGGCGGCCACCGCAAGUCGGUUGUGAAAUCUCUGGGCUUAACCCAGAAAGGUCAACCGAUACUGCGGGGCUAGAGUGCGGAAGGGGCAACUGGAAUUCUCGGUGUAGCGGUGAAAUGCGUAGAUAUCGAGAGGAACACCUGCGGCGAAGGCGGGUUGCUGGGCCGACACUGACGCUGAUGCGCGAAAGCCAGGGGAGCAAACGGG